GAUGAACGCUGGCGGCGUGCUUAACACAUGCAAGUCGAACGAGAAGUGAAGACGGAACCCUUCGGGCGGAAGGCUUUAUUUCGAGUGGCGGACGGGUGAGUAACGCGUGGGUAACCUGCCUCAUACAGGGGGAUAACAGUUGGAAACGACUGUUAAUACCGCAUAAGACCACAGCACCGCAUGGUGCGGGGGUAAAAACUCCGGUGGUAUGAGAUGGACCCGCGUUCGAUUAGCCAGUUGGCGGGGUAACGGCCCACCACAGCGACGAUCGAUAGCCGAUCUGAGAGGAUGACCGGCCACAUUGGGACUGAGACACGGCCCAAACUCCUACGGGAGGCAGCAGUGGGGAAUAUUGCACAAUGGGGGAAACCCUGAUGCAGCGACGCCGCGUGAGUGAAGAAGUAUUUCGGUAUGUAAAGCUCUAUCAGCAGGGAAGAAAAUGACGGUACCUGAGUAAGAAGCCCCGGCUAACUACGUG
rnacentral:rRNA from 1 species